GAUGAACGCUGGCGGCGUGCUUAACACAUGCAAGUCGAGCGAAGCACCUUGACGGAUUUCUUCGGAUUGAAGCCUUGGUGACUGAGCGGCGGACGGGUGAGUAACGCGUGGGUAACCUGCCUCAUACAGGGGGAUAACAGUUGGAAACGGCUGCUAAUACCGCAUAAGCGCACAGUACCGCAUGGUACGGUGUGAAAAACUCCGGUGGUAUGAGAUGGACCCGCGUCUGAUUAGGUAGUUGGUGGGGUAACGGCCUACCAAGCCGACGAUCAGUAGCCGACCUGAGAGGGUGACCGGCCACAUUGGGACUGAGACACGGCCCAAACUCCUACGGGAGGCAGCAGUGGGGAAUAUUGCACAAUGGGGGAAACCCUGAUGCAGCGACGCCGCGUGAGCGAUGAAGUAUUUCGGUAUGUAAAGCUCUAUCAGCAGGGAAGAAAAUGACGGUACCUGACUAAGAAGCCCCGGCUAACUACGUGCCAGCCGCCGCGGUAAUAC
rnacentral:rRNA from 1 species